GCAGACGGUCCAAAGGUGAUCUUUGUGUCUAUGAGACAGUCAGAAGAUGUGAAAACACUGAAAAUGGUCCAGCAGAAGGUGAUUUCACCAAUGUCACAUCCGUGAUUCAGCUCAAAGUCAUUAGGAAGACAAGAAAAUCAAGUCCUGCAGCUGAUGCAGCAGUUUAUUCUGAAGUCACAUCAGGAAGCUCUCUCAGUCAGUGAGGAGAGCUGUAGCAGCAAAGCCAAGAAGAAGCUUUUUAUGAAGCCACUCUUGCUCCUCUGCUGCCCAAAUAUCAGACAUGCUCAGCUUUAUGUACAGUUACAAUAUUCAAUCAUAAUAUAAUAUAGACAUAUUGCUCUCUUUUAGUAUCAAACAAAUGCAGGUGUAUUAGGUAUUAAUAUUCAUGCUCUUUAUAUUCAGUUUUUUCAUAAAGAUUUUGUAAUAAACCUUGAAUGUAUCUAACAUGUUCCAACAGCAGUGAGAACAAAGUGUGAAAUAUGUGAUCUUUAGUAUCUGACAGCACAACUUAAAGUCAGUGUUUGCAGUGUUUCACAAGUAAAUACUGAUAUGGGCAACAACAAAUACUUUAACUGUGUUUGUCCAAAGAUCUCGUACAUUAUAUAAAUAAGAAUUAUAUCAUAGGCAGUGAAUAUAUUUGAAUGUAUUUCAUGUAUAUU